CAUCUCCUCCCAGCGUCAUCACAUGCACCACACGAACAAAGGGGCAGCGCCCAGCGCGCCUCAGCUCGCCGCCAACCUCACGCGCUCGCUAGGUUGCCGCCCCUCCGUCCUGCACUCUGAUUCGUCCGCCGCCUCCUUUCUUCCAUGCUCCUCCUCUCAUUCUCCACCCAGCCUCGCAGCUGCCUCUGCCUGUGGCGCCGCUACACGACUCGGCCCCGUCAGGCACCACACUGGAGCCCCGUCUGUCUCCUUCCGUGAGACUUCAACUCGCUUGCACCACCCGCCUCUUGCUGCAUUAGGUGAACACCAUGGCCGACCUCUACCGCUCAAGUGCCCUACUCGCCUUGAGAGCCACCUUUUCUUGCCGCGUGCAGCACCACCGACAGUGCCGAUGCUCGCCUUCCUGCCGGUCAUCCACACCUUGCCCUACUACCAAGAUUGUGACUGCUGCUCCGACCCCCUCUAGCACACGCGCACAACCAACACCAUUGAGACACCCUGUCCUCUGCUGCUCGGCCAUCCAGCUGGGCAAGCCCCAGGGCCGGCCCUGAGGGGGGGCAGCAGGGGCGGCCGCCCCGGGCCCCCAACAUCAAGGGGGCCCCUCCCAGGUACACUACGCAAGGUAGCCCACAACCAGGAAUUCGUCGUCCGGCCUUUUUUCUUUCGAUCCCAGCAGCAGCGCAUCGAGCCUGGCCUAGCGUAUGUGCAGGUAGUAGAAGCCCAUGCUUGUUUUUUCCGCUGCCGACGCCCAUCGCUCGCAUCAAACUCAAUCCUUAAUCGUAGCAAGGCAAUCCCCAAUCGCCGCCGCCGACGCCGCAGUAGCGGCAACGAAGGUGAGCACGCAAGUAGGCUUGUCGUCAGGCUCCGGGCAAAAGUUUGCUGUCGAACCGUGAGCAGGAUUUUCCCCUUGUAUUCAGAACAAGGGGCCGUGAUAUUUUUGUUUGAUUAAGAAUUAUUUAAUGGAGCACUGUUCACUCUAGUAGCAAAUCAGGCAUCUGGAAUAGCUGCAUUAGAUGUGAAAAAGCUCAAAGAUGCCAGUCUCUACACAGUAGAGUCUCUGGCUUACACUCCAAGAUCUUUUGCGAAUCAAAGGAAUCAGUGAGGCCAAAGUUGAGAAGAUAAUUAAGGCAAGCAACAUCCAGGCUUGUUCCGCUGGGAUUUACAAGUGCCAACCAACUACAUGCACAGAGGCUAGAGAUCAUUCAAGUUAGAACUGGAUCAAGGGAGCUUGAUAAGAUCUUGGAUGGUAAUGUGCUACCAGCUUUAUGCUUUUUCCCUUUCUCAGCAUAAUUUGAUAAAUGACUUGUGAUCCAUUGAGUAUCAGAUCUUACCUACCUUUAACAGGGGGAUAGAAA